rnacentral:misc_RNA from 1 species
GAGAAACCCCAUAAACAUAAUCAGAGCUGAAACAAGAAGAAGACAAAAUCCAAAACAAUCAAUAAGAACCCUUCAAAAUCUGGAUUUGUUGUCGAGUCUACUUUGGGCAGUAAUAGUAUCAAAGAUGCAAUCUUUUUCACCAUUUUCAUAUCUUUCGUUAUUCUCUCUCUUUACAACUCUGAGUUUUGUGAAAAUUGUCUUGACCCAAGAUGGGUUUUGCUCUGCACCAUUAAGAAUUGAUGCUGAUUC